rnacentral:rRNA from 1 species
UUCUGUAAGCCUGUGAAGGUGGCCUGUGAGGGUUGCUGGAGGUAUCAGAAGUGCGAAUGCUGACAUAAGUAACGAUAAAGCGGGUGAAAAGCCCGCUCGCCGGAAGACCAAGGGUUCCUGUCCAACGUUAAUCGGGGCAGGGUGAGUCGACCCCUAAGGCGAGGCCGAAAGGCGUAGUCGAUGGGAAACAGGUUAAUAUUCCUGUACUUGGUGUUACUGCGAAGGGGGGACGGAGAAGGCUAUGUUGGCCGGGCGACGGUUGUCCCGGUUUAAGCGUGUAGGCUGGUUUUCCAGGCAAAUCCGGAAAACCAAGGCUGAGGCGUGAUGACGAGGCACUACGGUGCUGAAGCGACAAAUGCCCUGCUUCCAGGAAAAGCCUCUAAGCAUCAGGUAACAUCAAAUCGUACCCCAAACCGACACAGGUGGUCAGGUAGAGAAUACCAAGGCGCUUGAGAGAACUCGGGUGAAGGAACUAGGCAAAAUGGUGCCGUAACUUCGGGAGAAGGCACGCUGAUAUGUAGGUGAAGCGACUUGCUCGUGGAGCUGAAAUCAGUCGAAGAUACCAGCUGGCUGCAACUGUUUAUUAAAAACACAGCACUGUGCAAACACGAAAGUGGACGUAUACGGUGUGACGCCUGCCCGGUGCCGGAAGGUUAAUUGAUGGGGUUAGCGGUAACGCGAAGCUCUUGAUCGAAGCCCCGGUAAACGGCGGCCGUAACUAUAACGGUCCUAAGGUAGCGAAAUUCCUUGUCGGGUAAGUUCCGACCUGCACGAAUGGCGUAAUGAUGGCCAGGCUGUCUCCACCCGAGACUCAGUGAAAUUGAACUCGCUGUGAAGAUGCAGUGUACCCGCGGCAAGACGGAAAGACCCCGUGAACCUUUACUAUAGCUUGACACUGAACAUUGAGCCUUGAUGUGUAGGAUAGGUGGGAGGCUUUGAAGUGUGGACGCCAGUCUGCAUGGAGCCGACCUUGAAAUACCACCCUUUAAUGUUUGAUGUUCUAACGUUGGCCCCUAAUCGGGGUUGCGGACAGUGUCUGGUGGGUAGUUUGACUGGGGCGGUCUCCUCCUAAAGAGUAACGGAGGAGCACGAAGGUUGGCUAAUCCUGGUCGGACAUCAGGAGGUUAGUGCAAUGGCAUAAGCCAGCUUGACUGCGAGCGUGACGGCGCGAGCAGGUGCGAAAGCAGGUCAUAGUGAUCCGGUGGUUCUGAAUGGAAGGGCCAUCGCUCAACGGAUAAAAGGUACUCCGGGGAUAACAGGCUGAUACCGCCCAAGAGUUCAUAUCGACGGCGGUGUUUGGCACCUCGAUGUCGGCUCAUCACAUCCUGGGGCUGAAGUAGGUCCCAAGGGUAUGGCUGUUCGCCAUUUAAAGUGGUACGCGAGCUGGGUUUAGAACGUCGUGAGACAGUUCGGUCCCUAUCUGCCGUGGGCGCUGGAGAACUGAGGGGGGCUGCUCCUAGUACGAGAGGACCGGAGUGGACGCAUCACUGGUGUUCGGGUUGUCAUGCCAAUGGCACUGCCCGGUAGCUAAAUGCGGAAGAGAUAAGUGCUGAAAGCAUCUAAGCACGAAACUUGCCCCGAGAUGAGUUCUCCCUGAGACUUAGAGUCUCCUGAAGGAACGUUGAAGACGACGACGUUGAUAGGCCGGGUGUGUAAGCGCAGCGAUGCGUUGAGCUAACCGGUACUAAUGAACCGUGAGGCUUAACCUUACAACGCCGAAG